AGGAGGACGCCGAAGGUGGGGCUAAUGACUGGGGUGAAGUCGUAACAAGGUAGCCGUACCGGAAGGUGCGGCUGGAUCACCUCCUAACAGGGAGACAACAAAAUGUAAAUAUUAAUUUUGUCACCUUAGGUCGAUCGGUAUCUCAGAUUCUUAUUUUAAGAAUUUCAGUUUCUAAGUUUUUUCUAGGUCACACCCAUCACUUUUUCCUGGGCCAUUAGCUCAGGUGGUUAGAGCGCACCCCUGAUAAGGGUGAGGUCCCUGGUUCAAGUCCAGGAUGGCCCAUAUCUCUAUGUUGGGGGUAUAGCUCAGUUGGUAGAGCGCCUGCUUUGCAAGCAGGAUGUCAGCGGUUCGAGUCCGCUUACCUCCACUGAAUACCACCUCUUACAUAUAUUUAAAGAGGGAAAUUGUUUUGAGUCGUGUCCUUUUUUGCUCUGAGCGAAUCUAGCUUCCUAUUUUAUUCAAUAAAAUAAGAUGCUGGACUCAUUGAAUCUUUUUUCAUUGUUUUCAGAGAACCUUGACAACUGCAUAGAUUAUUUUUGAAGACAAUAAGCAUCUUUAAUGAUGCAGAUUUAUUAUUUGUGCGAAUGCAUUAAAUAACAAUUCUAUUAAGCUGAUGCUUCAAUUAUUGAAGUUAUUGGUCAAGCUACAAAGGGCUCACGGAGGAUACCUAGGCACACAGAGGCGA
rnacentral:misc_RNA from 1 species